rnacentral:rRNA from 1 species
UACAGAGGGGGCAAGCGUUGUUCGGAAUUACUGGGCGUAAAGGGCGCGUAGGCGGCCUUCUAAGUCGAACGUGAAAUCCCCGGGCUUAACCCGGGAACUGCGUCCGAUACUGGAAGGCUUGAAUCCGGGAGAGGGAUGCGGAAUUCCAGGUGUAGCGGUGAAAUGCGUAGAUAUCUGGAGGAACACCGGUGGCGAAGGCGGCAUCCUGGACCGGCACUGACGCUGAGGAGCGAAAGCCAGGGGAGCAAACGGG